AUUGAACGCUGGCGGCAGGCCUAACACAUGCAAGUCGAGCGGAUGAGAGGAGCUUGCUUCUCGAUUCAGCGGCGGACGGGUGAGUAAUGCCUAGGAAUCUGCCUGGUAGUGGGGGACAACGUGUCGAAAGGAACGCUAAUACCGCAUACGUCCUACGGGAGAAAGCAGGGGACCUUCGGGCCUUGCGCUAUCAGAUGAGCCUAGGUCGGGUUAGCUAGUUGGUGGGGUAAUGGCACACCAAGGGGACGAUCCGUAACUGGUCUGAGAGGAUGAUCAGUCACACUGGAACUGAGACACGGUCCAGACUCCUACGGGAGGCAGCAGUGGGGAAUAUUGAACAAUGGGCGAAAGCCUGAUCCAGCCAUGCCGCGUGUGUGAAGAAGGUCUUCGGAUUGUAAAGCACUUUAAGUUGGGAGGAAGGGUUGUAGAUUAAUACUCUGCAAUUUUGACGUUACCGACAGAAUAAGCACCGGCUAACUCUGUGCCAGCAGCCGCCGUAACAC
rnacentral:rRNA from 1 species